rnacentral:lncRNA from 1 species
ACAAACCAUAAUGUUGGAAGCUAAAUUAUAUUCAUGAAACCCUUGUUGAUUUGAACAAUUAUGUUCCUUCCCAACCGAGCAGAUUUUUUUACACCACUAGUUUGCCCUAAGCUUGAACUUCACUACAUAGGUGGGGCCACUUAGAGCCACACUUGAUGGUAGUUGUUCCCUGUUUAUUUUAUAUUACAUUGAUUUUGUGACAUUGACCUUCUCAAAGAGGGCUUGAUUCUACACUAUACCAAUUUUAAGCGUCUAAAAAAUGGAAAAUUUCGAAUUCAAAUUCAGACUCAUGUAUAUCAACAUUCAGGCAUCUAUCUCAUCAUUUGAAUUUCGUAUGAAUGGACACCUAAGAACAUGUCUAAACAAUUGCCCCUUGUUCAAGGAUCAAAGCAUGGGUAAAGAAGAUCUCUUAUGAGGGUAAAAUUACUACUUCCACCAUUAGGUCAAAGAUAGAUCUCUGAAUUGUUCCGUAAGCAAGUCAAAGAUAUAACCU